rnacentral:rRNA from 1 species
GAGUACAGUAGAGGUGGGCGGAAUUCGUGGUGUAGCGGUGAAAUGCUUAGAUAUCACGAAGAACUCCGAUUGCGAAGGCAGCUCACUGGACUGCAACUGACACUGAUGCUCGAAAGUGUGGGUAUCAAACAGGAUUAGAUACCCUGGUAGUCCACACAGUAAACGAUGAAUACUCGCUGUUUGCGAUAUACAGUAAGCGGCCAAGCGAAAGCAUUAAGUAUUCCACCUGGGGAGUACGGCCGCAAGGUUGAAACUCAAAGGAAUUGACGGGGGCCCGCACAAGCGGAGGAACAUGUGGUUUAAUUCGAUGAUACGCGAGGAACCUUACCCGGGCUUGAAUUGCACAGGAAUGGCUUGGAGACAGGCCAGUCUUCGGACCUGUGUGAAGGUGCUGCAUGGUUGUCGUCAGCUCGUGCCGUGAGGUGUCGGCUUAAGUGCCAUAACGAGCGCAACCCUUAUUUCCAGUUACCAUCAGGUAAUGCUGGGGACUCUGGAGAGACUGCCGUCGUAAGAUGUGAGGAAGGUGGGGAUGACGUCAAAUCAGCACGGCCCUUACGUCCGGGGCUACACACGUGUUACAAUGGGGGGUACAGCAGGCUGCUACCCGGCGACGGGAUGCUAAUCCGUAAAACCCCUCUCAGUUCGGACUGGAGUCUGCAACCCGACUCCACGAAGCUGGAUUCGCUAGUAAUCGCGCAUCAGCCACGGCGCGGUGAAUACGUUCCCGGGCCUUGUACACACCGCCCGUCAAGCCAUGAAAGCCGGGGGUACCUGAAGUGCGUAACCGCAAGGAGCGUCCUAGGGUAAAACUGGUGAUUGGGGCUAAGUCGUAACAAGGUAACCA